rnacentral:lncRNA from 1 species
AUUUUCAAGCGCUUUGUUUGCCCCCAUACCAUAAUGGUAGCCGUUUUGUUAGUUAAAGUGACGUCACGUUCGCCGCAAGGAUUAAUGUUAAUAGUCAUCUGAACUUGAUUUUUUAUAUUUUGCUUCCUGAUCCAAAGAGAAGUACUUAUUUGUUAACUGACUUAUUUGUUAAAAGCAUGUUGACUAUGUUCAUUCAAAUACAAAACUUACCAGAUACAAAAUGUUUUGAGCAUACUUAGACAUGUUUUGCAACCAAAGUUUGUGUUUGCAAGAUGAAUCAAUUCUUAUACCUCAUACCUCAAACAUGCUUAUAUUUUUUUAGAAAAUUAUGUACAAAAAAGUCAUUGCAAUAAAUCUCAAGUUAUUCAAGUCAGUUAACAAAUAAGUACUGACAAUUCGUUGACUGGAGUGGAAGAUGUUAGUGUCUUGAACCAACAUGAAACAACAAGUUAACUUAGCUGAGAAUGAUGGUUGUUUAAAAAUAAUGCAGCAUUGGCUAUGUAAGUGAUUAUGUGUAUGUUGGCUCACUCAUAAGUCAAUAUAUAUGUGUUUAUGUUCUGUGUCGACCUCUGGUGUCGUGUUGGCUCACCCUUUAGACAUUAUAUGUGUGUUUGUGUUCUGUUUCAACCUCUAGUGCGGUGUUGAUUCACUUUGCGUCGUGGGACCUAAAAAGGAAACAUUUCUACUUGAUGGUAAAGCUAAAAGUUAGUUAACUUGUAGUUUUACACUACCAGCUCAUUUAAAUAUUGGUUGUAGCAAUGGACGCCUACUGCAUAUAUUGGCAACUAGCAAGGAUUCAUAUAAAGUAACUGUAGAAAAAAUCAAUAAGUAUUUUAACAUCAAAGUUUGUACUAAUUAGAUUCUGCAACUAGUUAAAACAUCAAAAAACUUUGUAAACCAUUUUUCACGAGAUUCAAAACAAUUUAUUGACAUCUGCAACAUGCUCUGUGCAUACCAAAUAAUAACAUCUGCUAUGGCACAAACAUCGCAAUCAAUUGCAACCUCAAUUCACAUUGCUAUAUGUUCUUCAUUUCCCUUUCAACAAAUCAGUGUUUUAUCUGUAUCAAACAGUGGUCACUUAUCUCUUUUAUCUGGUCCUGCUAUAGAAACCUCUUCUCAUGAACCACUAUCCAGUUAGAGAGCUGACUAGUUAAGUCCCAGAAAAAGGUUAUGAGAAAGGGAUUUAAUUUUUUUGUUUGAAACAGCAGUUAACAUUAAUCGAAAACAAGUUUUCUUAUCAAAAGGCAAUUUUAUACCAACAACUUGACAAAAAUUAUGCAAUUCUUGUACUGCAAAAUGACAUUGAUACUGAUUUUACAGGAAGAGUUAGAGGAAAUUCAGCAAGUAACACAAAACACCAAAACUCAAAAACACUACUCAGCAGAUAUUAGAACACUUAUAUACGACAUGCUUGUGUGUUAAGUUCCUGGUUUCUUUCACUACACAAUUCAUUUUCUACACAAUUCUGCAAUACAAACUUCGCUACAAGGAUGCAAAAGUGAUCCAAAGGGUUUUGGGUUCUUUUUGGACCAACACGAGUUGUCCAGAAGAUUGCUACCACGCUAUAGAGGGAACAGAAUACAUAUGCUUUUUCACACAUGUGGUACUUUGAUCUAUAAUUAUUCCAUAUUGAAGAUAUUUUUGAUAAUUAUUCCAUAUUGAAGAUAUAUGUUCUGGCUUGACAUUAUGUGAAUGUCUGCAAAAUGGUUUGUUUCAAAACUUUACAUCUGAAACUUUUUCUUUUUUGUACAGUAUUAAAGGAUCAACUUUUAAUGUUUUUUCUGUUUUGUAAUAGUAAAAUGUGUUGUGUAUCAAGAGUUAGGUGAUUUUGUUUUUUGAUUUUUAUAUAGGAAAUCAUUCUCCUCUUCUCUAUUUUGUAAUGGGUUUUUCAGUUGUUGUGUUAAAUAUCUAAUGUAUUUUUAUUUAUCUGUUAUUGCAAGGUUUUAACUAAUAGCAUGCUAAAAGAUUGCAAUUUGCUACUGUCUUAAAGUCCUCAAGAUUAUAUUUUAUAAUUCAGUUACACAACGUGAUGAGUACUGCACGCUUGCUUUGAUGUUUGUUGAUCUUCUUCAUUUCAAUAUUAAAUCGAUAUCAUUAUAUGUGGUUUCCAUCGCGUACUAAAGAUUCAACUCUUUCUAUGGAUGUCACAGUUUUAUUUACUUCAAAAACUAGGCUUUUUUCAAGCCACAAUUCUGUUAAAAACAUUACUAAGCAAAUAAAAUAACUAUUAUAGUGUAAAUUUAUUGUUAAAGA